GGCAUGGAAGACAAAUGCAAAAGUAAGUUCUCUUUGGCAAUCUAAAACUCAUUGUUCAGUAUGAGUUUUGAUACAUGCAAAAAGGAAGAUG
rnacentral:snoRNA from 1 species